GACGAACGCUGGCGGCGUGCCUAAUACAUGCAAGUAGAACGCUGAAGCUUGGUGCUUGCACCGAGCGGAUGAGUUGCGAACGGGUGAGUAACGCGUAGGUAACCUGCCUGGUAGCGGGGGAUAACUAUUGGAAACGAUAGCUAAUACCGCAUAAGAGUAGAUGUUGCAUGACAUUUGCUUAAAAGGUGCAAUUGCAUCACUACCAGAUGGACCUGCGUUGUAUUAGCUAGUUGGUGAGGUAACGGCUCACCAAGGCAACGAUACAUAGCCGACCUGAGAGGGUGAUCGGCCACACUGGGACUGAGACACGGCCCAGACGCCUACGGGAGGCAGCAGUAGGGAAUCUUCGGCAAGGGACGGAAGUCUGACCGAGCAACGCCGCGUGAGGGAAGAAGGUUGUCGGAUCGGAAAGCUCUGUUGUAAGAGAAGAACGAGUGUGAGAGUGGAAAGUUCACACUGUGACGGUAUCUGACCAGAAAGGGACGGCUAACUACGUG
rnacentral:rRNA from 1 species